rnacentral:RNase_P_RNA from 1 species
AGUAAGCCAGACAAUCGCUGCUUAGAAAUAAGGAGAGGAAAGUCCGAGCUUCAUAGGGCAGGGUGCUGGUUAACGGCCAGUGGAGGUGACUCUAAGGAUAGUGCAACAGAAAGAUACCGCCUAGUUUACUAGGUAAGGGUGGAAAGGUGCGGUAAGAGCGUACCAGCGUAUUGGUGACAAUACGGCUAUGUAAACCCCACUUGAAGCAAGACCAAAUAGGAGGACAAUUAAGGGGUGGCCCGUCCCGUCCUCGGGUGUGUCGCUUGAGCCUAUAGGCAACUGUAGGCCUAGAUAGAUGAUUGUCUAAUACAGAACUCGGCUUAUAGACUUGCUCGU